GGGGGUUUAGCUCAGUGGUUCCAGUGCCUGCCUUGCAAGCAGAAGGUCCUGAGUUCGAUCCCUGGUACCUCCA
rnacentral:tRNA from 1 species